AAGAAGAAGCCGAAGCCAAAGGUCGGUCCGCUUCGCAAAGUCCUGUUGGCCCCAGCCAGGCCUCAAAAGUGGGGUGAGGCAAUGCCAAGCCCCUCCCUGGUCAGCUAAUGUGUCUUCCGUUUCCUCUUUCACCCAGAUGAAGCAAGACCAGAACCUCUAGCAAGGCAGGUACUAAAUCACAGCCCUGCCUCUCUGGAGACCCAGCCCUGGGGGCACAGGGGGGUGGGGGGCAGGGCAGGCGGGAGCCCUCCCAGAGCCUGGAGACCCGCUCCCUUUGACACUCACAGAACCCACGGGACAGCCUGGGUCUGCCACCCACCCGUGAAGGACCCGGGCCAUCUCUGCUCCUGCCUGGGCCUCAGUUUCCCCGUCUCUACAAUUCAGAACAUCUGAAAGUCCGGGAGGCUCCAACCUGUCGGUCAGGCUUGGAAGAAACUCUACCCAAUGAAGUGGAGCUAAUACGGCAUGUAAAACAAGCAUCCUAAAUAUCCGUGGAGAACCAAGAGAGGAUAUUGAAAAUCUGAAGCAAGAAGAGGAAGUUAUGAAGUAGAACCUAACUGGAGACAAGGGACAUGAACGAUAUAAUUACUGAAAUAAAGAACUUAAUAGAGGCUAGCUGACUUGUAACAUUGCAACAGAACAAAUGCAGAAGCAAGUAUAAGAACCCAGUUGUCUUCUAUUGAGCCAGACGUUAAAUAUUCUCAGAAAUGUAAAGUGAUGUCACUCUUCUCAUUACUUUUUUUUUUUUUUAAUUUUGGAAAAUACAGCAUUUUUCAUUCGAAAUGUUAUUUAUGUUGGGGUGCC